rnacentral:rRNA from 1 species
AUGCUUCCUCGGAAUAUCGACGUUGAUGUCGAGUAUACCAGGGAAGACAAACCUCCGCAAAUUGCUGCAGUUCUGCAGUUAUGCGUGGAGGAUCUCGUCCUGGUAUACCACAUCACGGCGGCAACCAAAUGGCCCAAGGAACUCCGCCCGCUCCUGCAGGAGAAGAAGCUGUACACCUUUGUUGGCUUCUCCAUUGGAGGCGACAAGGAUAAGCUGAAGUUGUCUGGUUUAGAGAUCAACCCCGACAAGUACAUCGACUUGCAGCGCAAAUGGAGAGUUCCAAACAAUGGAAAGAAGUGGCAGUCUUUGGCUGAGUUUGCAGGCAGCCUCAUCCACCCAUGCUACAAGGAAAUGAAGGAGAAGAUCGACAGGAAAUCGGACCACCUACUAUGGGGGGACAGCCCACUGCCAAACAAGCUCAUCGAGUACGCCGCGAAAGAUGCGUACGUCACCUACGAGGCAUGGAAGAAAAUCAAAAUCACCAAAGAAGGUUUGGAGCUCUGGCAAGAGGCGGAGGAUCAUUGGGAUGACCCCUACUACUGGGGAUAUUGA